rnacentral:sRNA from 1 species
AGGCUCCCAGCCCAAGGCUGUCUCCAGAAUCUACAGCCACUCACAGGCCUGAGGCUGCUGGAGAAAAAAGGGCCCUGUCCAGAUGAGGUAGCCAGGCUCUGGGGUGGCCGGGUCAGGCUUCCCCGGGCUCCUCCACUGCAUGCCCUCCCUGCACAGGUCAGCUAUCUGAAGCAGAAGGGACUGGGCGGGGCCAUGGUCUGGGCACUGGACUUAGAUGACUUUGCCGGCUUCUCCUGCAACCAGGGCCGAUACCCCCUCAUCCAGACGCUGCGGCAGGAACUGAGUGCAGAAAUCACUUAGAGGAUUUCCAGACUGAAGUGCUAUUUCAUGACAAGAGCACUACUCUCCCAAGCCCUUCUAUUGAAUACCACUGAGUCUUUUAAUAUUAGUGUCCAGCCAUUAGUCCUGUCCUUCAAAGGGACAGGGGAAUUAACAUUCGUUGAAUGACCAGAGACCAUACUAAGCAUGUAUUAGACAUCCAAUAAAUAGUUACUG